AGGACGAACGCUGGCGGCGUGCUUAACACAUGCAAGUCGAACGGAAAGGCCCUGCUUUUGUGGGGUGCUCGAGUGGCGAACGGGUGCGUAACACGUGAGUAACCUGCCCUUGACUUUGGGAUAACUUCAGGAAACUGGGGCUAAUACCGGAUAGGAGCUCCUGCUGCAUGGUGGGGGUUGGAAAGUUUCGGCGGUUGGGGAUGGACUCGCGGCUUAUCAGCUUGUUGGUGGGGUAGUGGCUUACCAAGGCUUUGACGGGUAGCCGGCCUGAGAGGGUGACCGGCCACAUUGGGACUGAGAUACGGCCCAGACUCCUACGGGAGGCAGCAGUGGGGAAUAUUGCACAAUGGGCGGAAGCCUGAUGCAGCAACGCCGCGUGCGGGAUGACGGCCUUCGGGUUGUAAACCGCUUUCGCCUGUGACGAAGCGUGAGUGACGGUAAUGGGUAAAGAAGCACCGGCUAACUACGUG
rnacentral:rRNA from 1 species